GGUGAACGCUGGCGGUAGGCCUAACACAUGCAAGUCGAACGGCAGCACAGGAGAGCUCGCUCUCUGGGUGGCGAGUGGCGGACGGGUGAGGAAUACAUCGGAAUCUACUCUGUCGUGGGGGAUAACGUAGGGAAACUUACGCUAAUACCGCAUACGACCUACGGGUGAAAGCAGGGGACCUUCGGGCCUUGCGCGAUUGAAUGAGCCGAUGUCGGAUUAGCUAGUUGGCGGGGUAAAGGCCCACCAAGGCGACGAUCCGUAGCUGGUCUGAGAGGAUGUUCAGACACACUGGAACUGAGACACGGUCCAGACUCCUACGGGAGGCAGCAGUGGGGAAUAUUGGACAAUGGGCGCAAGCCUGAUCCAGCCAUACCGCGUGGGUGAAGAAGGCCUUCGGGUUGUAAAGCCCUCUUGUUGGGAAAGAAAUCCAGCUGGCUAAUACCCGGUUGGGAUGACGGUACCCAAAGAAUAAGCCCCGGCUAACUUCGUGCCAGCCGCCGCCGUAA
rnacentral:rRNA from 1 species